rnacentral:rRNA from 1 species
UACGUAGGGGGCUAGCGUUGUCCGGAUUUAUUGGGCGUAAAGAGCGUGUAGGCGGCUUGGCAAGUCCGCUGUGAAAACUCGAGGCUCAACUUCGAGCUGUCGGUGGAAACUGUCUGGCUAGAGUCCGGAAGAGGAGAAUGGAAUUCCCGGUGUAGCGGUGAAAUGCGCAGAUAUCGGGAGGAACACCUAUGGCGAAGGCAGCUCGCUGGGACGUUACUGACGCUGAGACGCGAAAGCGUGGGGAGCAAACAGG